CCACAUAUAUAGCAACCUUCGAGACUAGAAAGCUUCGAAGGAAAUGAAUUUCGAUAUAUAUCUGUCUCGUUAAAUGGAAGAAAGCCAGUAGAAAUGGUAGAAGAAAAAUGUAAAAGAUUAAUUUUUCUCAUGACGCAUCACGUAAGCCUGAUGUUGACAAAAAUAGAGAAAUUGAUUAGUCGGAUGAUAGAAGAAAUCACAUAAAGUUAGAUGAUCAAAAGAAAUAACAAUGGAUGUAUGAUUUUUAAUUCAAUGUUGAUUCCGGGGCUGGUAAGGUGUAAAUUGUAUAAAUUCCAUAAGGCGUUCAUAAAAAGAAGAAAAAGAGAAAUUGUAAUUCAGAUUAUGGAACUCCGAUCGUCAUACUCAUAGUAUUCCACAAUUUGUCCAUUUACGACGUAUGUUUCGUCAUUAAGAAGCUCGCCAACACGUUCGAGGAAAGCGAUUUCGAACUUGUCAUCAAGAAAGCUGUCUUUCCAUACGAUUACCUAACAUCUUACGAUAAACUGCGAUUCACGUCUGCCCACGCACGAAUCGUUUUACAACCGAUUAUGCGACAGUCACGUAUCCAAGACAGAUUAUCUCCAACGCGGUCAACGUUUCGUCACGUUUUCACAUCGUGGAAUUGUAUUUGGGGCAUAUAGCGACCUGUAUCUAAUAUUAGGCGUAUUAUAUUAUAAUAUAAUACAUAUUACAUAUAUAUGUUAUAUAUGAUGUAUAUUAUAUUAUAAUAUGUAUUAUAUC
rnacentral:misc_RNA from 1 species